rnacentral:rRNA from 1 species
CCUACGGGUUGCACCAGUGGGGAAUAUUGCACAAUGGGCGCAAGCCUGAUGCAGCCAUGCCGCGUGUGUGAAGGAGGCCUUCGGGUUGUAAAGCACUUUCAGCGGGGAGGAAGGCGGUGAGGUUAAUAACCUCAUCGAUUGACAUUACCCGCAGAAGAAGCACCGGCUAACUCCGUGCCAGCAGCCGCGGUAAUACGGAGGGUGCAAGCGUUAAUCGGAAUUACUGGGCGUAAAGCGCACGCAGGCGGUCUGUCAAGUCGGAUGUGAAAUCCCCGGGCUCAACCUGGGAACUGCAUUCGAAACUGGCAGGCUAGAGUCUUGUAGAGGGGGGUAGAAUUCCAGGUGUAGCGGUGAAAUGCGUAGAGAUCUGGAGGAAUACCGGUGGCGAAGGCGGCCCCCUGGACGAAGACUGACGCUCAGGCGCGAAAGCGUGGGGAGCAAACAGGAUUAGAUACCCGUGUAGUC